rnacentral:rRNA from 1 species
GAUGAACGCUGGCGGUGUGCCUAAUACAUGCAAGUCGAACGCGUUGGCCCAAUUGAUUGACGGUGCUUGCACCUGAUUGAUUUUGGUCGCCAACGAGUGGCGGACGGGUGAGUAACACGUAGGUAACCUGCCCAGAAGCGGGGGACAACAUUUGGAAACAGAUGCUAAUACCGCAUAACAGCGUUGUACGCAUGAACAACACUUAAAAGAUGGCUUCUCGCUAUCACUUCUGGAUGGACCUGCGGUGCAUUAGCUUGUUGGUGGGGUAACGGCCUACCAAGGCGAUGAUGCAUAGCCGAGUUGAGAGACUGAUCGGCCACAAUGGGACUGAGACACGGCCCAUACUCCUACGGGAGGCAGCAGUAGGGAAUCUUCCACAAUGGGCGCAAGCCUGAUGGAGCAACACCGCGUGAGUGAAGAAGGGUUUCGGCUCGUAAAGCUCUGUUGUUAAAGAAGAACACGUAUGAGAGUAACUGUUCAUACGUUGACGGUAUUUAACCAGAAAGUCACGGCUAACUACGUGCCAGCAGCCGCGGUAAUACGUAGGUGGCAAGCGUUAUCCGGAUUUAUUGGGCGUAAAGAGAGUGCAGGCGGUUCUUUAAGUCUGAUGUGAAAGCCCCCGGCUUAACCGGGGAGGGUCAUUGGAAACUGGAGAACUUGAGUGCAGAAGAGGAGAGUGGAAUUCCACGUGUAGCGGUGAAAUGCGUAGAUAUGUGGAGGAACACCAGUGGCGAAGGCGACUCUCUGGUCUGUAACUGACGCUGAGGCUCGAAAGCGUGGGGAGCAAACAGG